GGAUGAACGCUAGCGGCAGGCUUAACACAUGCAAGUCGAGGGGCAACACGGGUAGCAAUACCUGGUGGCGACCGGCGCAAGGGUGCGUAACGCGUGAGCAACAUGCCCUAUACAGGGGGAUAAUCCAGGGAAACUUGGUCUAAUAUCCCAUAGUAUUUAGAGGUGGCAUCACCACUAAAUUAAAGCUUCGGUGGUAUAGGAUUGGCUCGCGUGACAUUAGCUGGAUGGUGGGGUAACGGCUCACCAUGGCGAUGAUGUCUAGGGGUUCUGAGAGGAAGACCCCCCACACUGGGACUGAGACACGGCCCAGACUCCUACGGGAGGCAGCAGUGAGGAAUAUUGGACAAUGGAUGGAAAUCUGAUCCAGCCAUGCCGCGUGCAGGAAGACGGCCCUAUGGGUUGUAAACUGCUUUUAUAUGGGAGCAAUAAGGUUUACGCGUAGACCGAUGAGAGUACCAUAUGAAUAAGCAUCGGCUAACUCCGUGCCAGCAGCCGCGGUAAUACGGAGGAUGCGAGCGUUAUCCGGAUUUAUUGGGUUUAAAGGGUGCGUAGGCGGCCUUGUAAGUCAGCGGUGAAAUUUUGCAGCUUAACUGUAACGGUGCCGUUGAUACUGCGGGGCUAGGAUUUGGUUGCUGUGGGUGGAAUGUGUGGUGUAGCGGUGAAAUGCUUAGAUAUCACACAGAAUAUCGAUUGCGAAGGCAGCUCACAAAGCCAAGAUUGACGCUGAGGCACGAAAGUGUGGGGAUCAAACAGGAUUAAAUACCCUGGUAGUCCACACUGUAAACGAUGAUAGCUCGCUGCCGGCGAUACACAGUCGGUAGCCAAGCGAAAGCGAUAAGUUAUCCACCUGGGGAGUACGACCGCAAGGUUGAAACUCAAAGGAAUUGACGGGGGCCCGCACAAGCGGAGGAACAUGUGGUUUAAUUCGAUGAUACGCGAGGAACCUUACCCGGGCUCGAACGGUGCAUGAAUAUAAAAGAGAUUUUAUAGUCCUUCGGGACAUGUAUCGAGGUGCUGCAUGGUUGUCGUCAGCUCGUGCCGUGAGGUGUAGGCUUAAGUGCCAUAACGAGCGCAACCCUUGUCGUUAGUUGCCAUCAGGUAAUGCUGGGAACUCUAGCGAGACUGCCACCGUAAGGUGUGAGGAGGGGGGGGAUGACGUCAAAUCAGCACGGCCCUUAUGUCCGGGGCGACACACGUGUUACAAUGGGGGGUACAGAGGGCAGCCAUCCGGUGACGGAGCGCUAAUCUCCAAAACCCUUCUCAGUUCGGAUUGGAGUCUGCAACCCGACUCCAUGAAGUUGGAUUCGCUAGUAAUCGCGCAUCAGCCAUGGCGCGGUGAAUACGUUCCCGGGCCU
rnacentral:rRNA from 1 species